AGUCGAGUGCGCAGUCUGCUGUAGCAAUACAGCAGGCGGGCGCACGGCGCACGGGUGCGUAACACGUGGGUAACCUGCCCUGCAAUGGGGGAUAACCCGCCGAAAGGCGGGCUAAUACCGCAUGAUAUUCCGGUGGCUUCGGACGCCGGAAACCAAAGCCCGCAAGGGCGUUGGAGGAGGGGCCCGCGGCCGAUUAGCUAGUUGGUGAGGUAACGGCUCACCAAGGCUGUGAUCGGUAGCCGGUCUGAGAGGAUGGCCGGCCACACUGGAACUGAGACACGGUCCAGGAUCCUACGGGAGGCAGCAGUGGGGAAACCUUGCGCAAUGGGCGAAAGCCUGACGCAGCGACGCCGCGUGGGGGAUGAAGCUUUUCGGAGUGUAAACCCCUUUCGACCCGGACGAAACGCCCGCAAGGGCUUGACGGUACGGGUAUAAGAAGCCCCGGCUAACUACGUGCCAGCAGCCGCGGUAAGACGUAGGGGGCCAGCGUUGCUCGGAAACUACUGGGCGUAAAGGGUUCGUAGGCGGUGCGGUAAGUCGGAAGUGAAAUCUCUGGGCUUAACUCAGAGGCUGCUUUCGAAACUGCCGUGCUAGAGUGCGGGAGAGGCGAGUGGAAACUGCAGGUGUAGCGGUGAAAUGCGUAGAUAUCUGCAGGAACACCCGUGGCGAAGGCGGCUCGCUGGACCGCAACUGACGCUGAGGAACGAAAGCUAGGGGAGCAAACAGGAUUAGAUACCCUGGUAGUCCUAGCCCUAAACCAUCAGGGAUUG
rnacentral:rRNA from 1 species